CAUCACCAGCGGCAAUACUCCGAUAACUUUUUGGAAGCCACAUCUUCGUCGGCUAACGGCCGGUGGCUACAACCGCCUUCCAACGCUUCUUCUGCCUUUGGUUAUCAAGGUGCUAGAAUGUAUGAUAAUAGUAGUAGGAAUGUUGGUGUGCAAAGGUCGUUGAGCGGUGGGAGUGAUUUGUUUGCUGAGGCGUUGACGCCACCGCGACAGAAGCACGGUGGCGGUGAUGACAACAAUGGAUUUAGUCCUGGCUUGUUAGAUCUGCAUUCGUUUGAUACGGAGCUUAUCUCCGAGGUGCCUGUAACCGGAACUUAUGGUGCUCU